rnacentral:rRNA from 1 species
UACGUAGGCAGCAAGCGUUGUUCGGAGUUACUGGGCGUAAAGGGUGUGUAGGCGGCCUUCUAAGUUUGGCGUGAAAUCUCCCGGCUCAACCGGGAGGGUGCGCCGAAGACUGGGGGGCUAGAGUGCGGGAUGGGAGAGUAGAAUUCCUGGUGUAGCAGUGAAAUGCGUAGAGAUCGGAAGGAACGUCAAUGGCGAAGGCAGCUACCUGGCCAAAUACUGA